rnacentral:tRNA from 1 species
GCCAGGUUCGGAUAGCGGCAAUUCCAACAGACUGUAAAUCUGUCGCCCUAACGGGCUACGAAGGUUCGAGUCCUUCACCUGGCA